ensembl:lncRNA
AAGUAAAGCAAUACCAGGGCUUAGGUUUACCCGUUUGUGUUUUGCUGUUGGUUGUUUGAGGUUGAGAAACAACAUUGCUUGGCUUUCGUUGCUCUUGUACUGGUGUGGUUUAAUUUCUUUCCUUCUGGAAUUUUGUGUUUGACUUCUGGGCUUAGCAGUCAGAGCUGUCAGUUGACUCUGAAGCUCGGCGAUCUGCUUCUUCAGCUUUUGUAUUUCAGUGGCAGAUGGUUUCUCACCCGAGUCUUGUAAGGUACUCAUGAACUUGGCGAAAAGCUUGUCUCCGUACUCAACGGUGCCAAAAGCUGAAUCUAACAGCUGAAUGCAAGAUGAAGGUGGAGUUUCAGGACUUAAAUGCUUGAUUACAUCGGCUGCUGGUGGCAGGAGGCUAUCAAGUAUCCUUCUAGAUCUGUGUAGGUCGGACACAUAUGGGUCUUUUAAAAUCAGUUCAACAUUAGAACGCAAUGUGUCAUAGUCCGCUUCAUUAUUGGGUCGAGGACAUUUUCCUGAAAAUGCUCUGAGCCUCAUAGGUGCACUUAACUGAGGAGUUUCUCCACUUCUCACUAUAUGUUCUCCUGUCACCUUUUGGACUUCAGGCGGGGAGCUGAUGCAGGUGUCAUGGAUGUAACCUCUGAUGAUGGCUCCGACAACACCUCAGGUAAACCAGCAUCAUCUCCGGACUCAGUGGGAGUGACAAACUCAUUCAUCUGAGUGAGCAUUUCCUUGAGCACUACUUCAAAUUCUUUACCACUAAGUUUUGCAACUUCCUUCAAUUCAUCAAUGUAACUCUGGGUGGCGCUGCGCCCUACCUGCUUUAAGUAGAUGCUCGACAGUGAUUUUACAUAAGUUACAUUAGGAUCACUUGACAAUUGAUGAAUGUAAGGUAAUUUGGGCUCGAGAGAUUUUAGGGCCGAUCCACUUUGAAACGCGAGUAUUUCGUCUCGGUGAAACGGUGAAUCAGGAUUACUAAUAACAAUUUGGCGAGCAAUAGAAUCAUUUUUUCAAAACAUCAAUUAGUUCUUCAUCUAUCUCUGUUCUAGUUAAUCCACUGAUUAUCAGUGAGUUUGGAAUUUUAAUUCCCCACUCUUCAAUUAUUUCCAUGUUAUCAAUGGUAUAAUAGCUUUCACAAUGGUAUGUAUGUUCAAGAUUAACUGUUAUUAGUUCAAUAGCACCACCUCCUGGCUGGCUCCCAC